CGGUGUUCAACUGGCGUGCCCGCGGGACGUCCUGCCGGUGAGCUCAUCCCGCGAGGGCGGCUCAACUUGAAAUCCCAUCGCGGUGCUCUUCAUUGAGUGUCGAGGUGGGCCGGCACGAUUACUUUUGAACAAAUUAGAGUGCUUAAAGCAGGCUAAAAUUUUGCCUGAAUACUGUGUAUAUGGAAUAAUGGAAUAGGACCUCGGUUCUAUUUUGUUGGUUUUCGGAACCCCGAGGUAAUGAUUAAUAGGAACGGAUGGGGGCAUUCGUAUUGCGACGUUAGAGGUGAAAUUCUUGGAUCGUCGCAAGACGGACUAAAGCGAAAGCAUUUGCCAAAAACGCUUUCAUUGAUCAAGAACGAAAGUUAGAGGUUCGAAGGCGAUCAGAUACCGCCCUAGUUCUAACCAUAAACUAUGCCAGCUAGCGAUCCGCCGACGUCCCUCUGAUGACUCGGCGGGCAGCUUCCGGGAAACCAAAGCUUUUGGGUUCCGGGGGAAGUAUGGUUGCAAAGCUGAAACUUAAAGGAAUUGACGGAAGGGCACCACCAGGAGUGGAGCCUGCGGCUUAAUUUGACUCAACACGGGAAACCUCACCAGGCCCAGACACUGGAAGGAUUGACAGAUUGAGAGCUCUUUCUUGAUUCAGUGGGUGGUGGUGCAUGGCCGUUCUUAGUCGGUGGAGCGAUUUGUCAGGUUAAUUCCGAUAACGGACGAGACUCUGACCUGAUAACUAGACGCACUUGCGGCAUCUCAAAGGUCCGCCGGCGGCUGGCUUUGCGCCCGUCGUCGCGCGCGAUUUUUACUGCCGGCGUACAAUAAAUUCUUCUUAGAGGGACAAGUGG
rnacentral:rRNA from 1 species